rnacentral:lncRNA from 1 species
GGUUCAUUAAUGCGAGACGCAGAAUCGUUCAACCCAUGAUUGACCAGAGCAACAGAGCAGUGUUUCCACCAUUGUCCGCAGGUCCAAGCGGAGCUUACAGUCCAGACGCGACAAUGGGUUACAUGAUGGACGGACAAGCGGCCAGCAUGAUGCACCGACCUCCUGGUGACCCUGCCUUUCACAACCAGUAUCAUUAUCCUCCAGAAUACUACGGUCAUCACUUAUAAAGCUGAACGCCUAGAUAAAUGGAGCUUUACCGUUAGGGAAGAAAAAGUAAUAGGAUGAAACCUGGUAUCUAUCGAUCGACCGGAAAUGGCGCACGUCUCGGCAGUUCGUUGCUUCAACGUAGAAAAUAAAAAGGAAAAAAGCAGGAAAAAAGGAGUGGAAAAAAGAAGCAACUCGAUUUACCCGAUUCGGAAGAAUCGUGAACGAAUCUCUGGACCAGAAGAUGAAGUGGUAACGAGUAAAAAGGCCAAACAAUAAAAUUAAACAAGUCCAAGUGACUAUUGCGUUCCGAGUCAGAUGUGAGAGAUACUUUUCAACAUAUGAACCGUACAAUUGUUGUCUUGAAGCAAUUAAUUACAAGGUACAUGUUUUAAAGUUUCAAGUACGAACUUGAGGAAAUGAGACAAAAGUAAUAUAAUAAUUGAAAAAAUAUUUGCGGCCAAAGGAUUCAAGAAUAUUAGUGAUGUUUGGACAGGGUCGCGUGAGGGGCAAAAAAUUCAUGUGAUUGUUCUUUGUACAAAUAUUGCGGUGUAAUAUUGUAGUGAUUGAGAUAUAAAUGUUAAAUUUUAAUACAAUCGCAAUCGAGAGACUAUACUAUUGAAUAUAGUGAUAUAGGCAAUUAGCGGGCAUGUACAUUACCUGGUGUUCGCAUGAGAAAUGUCCACGCUCGCGAGAACUUCUACAGUGGGUCUGGCUUGAAGAAUUCAAAUUCAAGGAGCUGACAAAGAAUGAGAGAAGAAAUAAAUUGUUGGUUAAUUAAUUGAAAAAAAAUAAAAAAUUUCAGAUGGAAAAGAAAAAAGGAAAACUUCAUGUGGAAGAGCGAGAUUAUCGGAUGAAUAUUCUCGAAAUCACAAGAAUUUGCUAGACCGAGCGUCGACAUUCUCGACUUAGGAGACAUUAAAUUUGUACAGUUCUUAAUUAUUAAUAAUUUUAAAUAUUAAACGAAAAUAACGAUAAAUAUACAUAUAAAAAUGCGCAGAAUCCUCGUCCCUCGUUGUGUAAUAUAAUAAAAUGUAGCGUAAGAAAUACGCUUAUGAAAUAGAGAGACACGAAAACGAGGGUUCUCAGUGAGAAAAAAUAAGUUUAAAAGGUCUUAGCGUCCGCGACUUGACAUAAAUAAGGACGAAUGUCACACUGCUCGUCCUAAAAAUAAUUAAACAUUAAUUAUUACAAUUUACUAUAAUAUAUUGUGUAUAAAUAGUUAAUUCAAUUGAGCUCGAAGCAAGGGUGAGGCAGAAGAAUAGAAAACAAAAGUGGAGAAAAACAGUGUGUAAGCUAGUGUGUAUGAGUGUGUGUGAAAGGAAAUGAAAUGAUUGAAUGUCUAGGGCAGAAUGAGAAGUUUGAGAUCGUACAAAAAUUCAUUGAACGAGGGAUAAAACGGAAAAUAUGAUGCAACGAGGGAAGUGUAUCAUAAAAAAAAUAGAAAACUGGAUGAUUAUAUACUGUGCGAGUGUAUAGUAGGAACUAGGCUCGAAAAGUAUCGUUCGUUUCGUUUAAACGCAUAUUUUAAUCUUUUUGAAUAAGAAAAUAAUGAUAAACUUUUAAAUAUAUUUAUCCCUCUUACCCUUCUAUCAUUUUCAUUUUUAAUACUUUCCCACAUUCAUUUUAUCACUGCAACACACUUACUUCGUGCCUCCGAUUCCUUUUUAAAAACGAAAAUUCAUCGAAAACGACAGUCAGCAUAUCUAAGAGGACAUUUUAAUAAAAUUUAUGAACAAGUACAUUAAUCUAGGAAAAACAAAUUACGUCCAAUUCUUUGGUCAAUCAAACGAAAUUCCCACGUUUGUCUAAUCCGUUCCUUCUGAUUAUUAUCGCCCCUUAUUCUCGCCUCAUGAAGGUAUUUUUUAUUCCUUUAUAAAAUAUCGCGCGUGCAUUUCUGGUAUACGUAAUAGAAAUAUUUGAAUAACUUUUCGAAAGAAUUUUAUGAAAAUACGAAAUAAGAAUUAUAAAAUUAUGAAUAUUUGAUUGUUUCAUUGAUAAUAUUUAAAAUAAACUAAUUAAAAAAAAAAAAAUGUUAGUUAAAUAAUGCCAGGUCUGCGUAUUUUUUUACGUUGACGUAAAUAUUACCGUCACGUUCUUUGCGCGCCGAGAGAAGAGGAAAAUACUAAAGAAGAUUUUAUCGAAUAUUUUCAAUAUGCCUACAUACAAAACAAGAAAUAUGAUAAAUAAAAUUUUUUAAAUAAAUAAACAAAAUCAUGGAUUUAUGGUAAAUUUGAACAUUUUAUGCUGAAAGGCUCAGCGGGAAUAUGACGGUGUUUUUUAAAACUAAAUGAGAUAUAUAAAAAUAUUUAACGAUCCAGUUUGCUAACAGAAUCCUCUUUUAUUCGAUACAUAGAUUUAUCUCAAUGACAAUCCCGUGACAUCCCGACUAAGCUGAUCGGUGUUCUAGUAUACUAAACAAAUAUCCACGUAUACUGAAAGACUCAGGUGCGAAUGUCUACCGUUCAUAGUUUUGAUUAAUUGGCGUAAAUCGUGUCCGUCGUUUAUGUCAUGCUACGUGCCGAUAUGUUUCAUAUUUUAAACUUUUUUUUAUCUAGCCGAUUUAUUCAAUAAUAUACAAUCGUUCUGAAACAGAACAUAAAAAAUGUUUUAACAUUUAACUGAUUUGUUCAUUUUUUAAAUUAAAUAUUAUUUAUUUGAUUAAAUGGGAAUGUUUUUUUAUAAAUCUUAUAAUAACAAUAACAAUCAGAUUUUUGUGGUAAAAAAAAAUGAUUCAAUACAAGACUCGUCUUAUUUACAAGUAAUAAGUGUUGUUGACUUAUUUUUUAAAAAUGUAUUUGUUGAUCAGUAGAUUAUUUAAUUUUGUUAGCAGUCAACUCACCAGAAUACUUGUACAAUGACACGAGACUUAUUUGACGAUAAGUGUCAUCGAAAGAAAAUACAUUGAAUUCUUAAUAAUGACCUGUCAUUAGAGUAUUUAAUUAUUCAUUAAUAUACUGAAUCAGCAUUUUUAAAUCGGUACUAGUUACCUACAUUGUAAUAAAAAAGUAUGCAAUAAAUGUAAUAUCGAAUGAGAUGAUAAUCCAAACAUUGUACUUUACAUUGUGACAAAUACGUAAUCUUCGAGCUAUCAUUUAUAUCAUAUUAUUUAUGACGCGAAUGCCUGUUGAUAUUUUAUGAUCAUUUUAUUCGAUAACUCUAUCUUGGGAUUUAUUGUUAUUAAUCUUAGCUAUCGAAUCUAGUUUGUUUACUAGUCUUCGAGAGAGCGGUACGGAUUUAGUGCAAUCGAUAAAGAGUAGCUCAAGACUUACGAAUUUGAGUAUAAAAAAAAGUAUAUGUAAUAAAUGUGUAAGACAUAUUUAUGCGAUAAAUAUUGAAAAAACAGUGAAUAAUAAUAUUAAUUAGGAUAAAAAUUAAGUAAUAUUCGAUAUUUGAAUAUCGGCUAGGAUCGGCACGUACAAAAUGACAAGUAUGAUUUGCACAAUGUAUAAUUGAUGAUCCUACAUCUUGGCUGUUCGUUUACUAAAAAUGAGUUCAUUCGAUUGAAUCAUCGCCUUAAAAAUGUAUACGAAAUAAAGUAAGUUAUCUAAGUAAUAAUCACGUUAGAGGGUAAACUAAAUACCAAGUUUUUAUGCGCCGCGAUACGAGCGAGAAAGGUGUGAAAGUCCAUUGUAUGUUAGUUAUAUGAGUGUAUAAAAAACGUAUGUAAAAGAAAAAUAUUUGCUUGAGGGUGAUAAUAAUGAGAGAAAGUGUGAGAAAGAGGAAGAGAGCAAGUAAUGUAUAAUAAUUAUUGUAUAAUUACGGAUGAUGAUAAUAUGAUUAUGACGUUUAUGGUAAUGAUGAUUAUUAUCGUUAUCGUCACAAUGAUUAAUGAUAACGAUGAUGUAUAAUAAGCUAAAAUUUAUUGUAUCGGUAUGGAAUCAGAUUUUUUCCACUGUUUGCGCAUUGAUGACUAUUGACACCUAAGUAAAGAAUGGCAAAUAAAUUUAAAAAAAGAUA